rnacentral:rRNA from 1 species
UACGUAGGUGGCAAGCGUUGUCCGGAAUUAUUGGGCGUAAAGCGCGCGCAGGCGGUCCUUUAAGUCUGAUGUGAAAGCCCACGGCUCAACCGUGGAGGGUCAUUGGAAACUGGGGGACUUGAGUGCAGGAGAGAAGAGUGGAAUUCCACGUGUAGCGGUGAAAUGCGUAGAGAUGUGGAGGAACACCAGUGGCGAAGGCGACUGCUUUG